AGGAUGUUAACUCGAUGAAAACGACGGUCUUUUUUGCCACAGUCUCUAUGAAAAAAGAAAAUUGUAGCAUGUCAAAUAUCAUCAAUAUCUUCAAAUGUAUUGGAGAAGUUGUUCGUGUUCGACUUAUAGUAGACCACAGGGGUGAGUCUCUGGGCUGUGGCUUUGUUGAGUUUGCUUCUGCUGAGGAAGCAAAGAAGGCUGUGCAAGAGAAGAGUGGUUGUGCUAUUUAUGUCAAGGUGGCCGAGAAAGCUCCAUACUUUUUCCGACCCAAGUAAAGCGAUUUUCCAUAUGGAAAUUUGUUUCUCUAAACCUAAUGCUAUAGUUUUUAUGCCAUAUCCAGAAAGAUUAACGUUAUCAACUUUUGUUAAUUAGGUGCAACCUUGCAGACCUUGCGGAGAAGCUUUGGUAAGAGAUUUAACUAUUUACCUUUUUUGCUUUUUAUUAUCAAAACCACAUUUGUGAAGUUUUUGGGUAUAUAUGACAAUGGUUUUUGAUAUUAUUCCAGGUAUGAAGACAAGCUUCGACGAGAAGGCUUUGGUUUGCCGAGCAAAUCGGAGCUGAGGAAAGAGGAGGCAGUCUUCUGCGGUAAUAAGAUUACCUUCUCUGACAAAGACUGAUCGAAGAAGAAGAUGAAGUUCUUUGGUGUCUAUAACUUGUGAUACAAUCCAACCUUUAUAUUUUUCUUAAAAUAUUUUCUGUGAUGUAAGAUUUCUCAGUGCCUCCAAACACAAGUCAUGUCCUUUUGUUAGCAAAGACAGCAAUUUCAAAGCCUUUGUACAAAACAAAAAGUUGGGUGAUUACACUAGGCCUUCUAAUCUGAAUUUCUUGUUGCUGACAUGUUUAUUGUUUCCUAAAUUCACAGUCGAGACUUGAUGUAUCCGACAAAAGAAGUCAUUUGUAUUGGGCUAAUAUGACAGACAAUGGUAUGUCCCAAAGUUUUUGGGAACAACUUUAUGUAUGUGUCAGGCUUUGAAUCAUGGUAUCAUUUCUCAUCAUCAUUUGUUAAUCCAUAAUUACACAACUAAUAUUUACAUAAAUGUUUUUAUCACUAAAAGUAAGAUAAAGGACUAUAUGCAUGCAUUCAAUGGUGUUUGGCUUAGUAUGACCAAAA